GGCUUGAGUCUAACGGAUACAUAAUUAAUGGUGACAUUCCCCCCGGGGGUGGCCGAGGUGUGUCCCCGCCCGGGUGCUGUUCACACGCGCACAGCUCUCCCCUCUCACCACACACCGCUCUCGGCCUCCGUCGGAGCCUCGCUGGGAGCCGGCCAGCGAGGCCAGGGAUGGCCGACAGUAACGUCACGUCCCAGCCCCGGCACUCGCUCGCACCUCUGUGACCCACGCAGGUUUCGAUGUCUGCGCCAAGGUAAAGGAAUACGUUUUGCUGCCCUGCCCCAGGGCUCGUGUGACACCGCUGCAGGGCAGACGGACGACAAGCACCGAUGAGGCAGAUAAGAGAUGAGCCUGCGUGGCGAGCGCCUCGCGGACGUGCUUGCAAAGAGCUCCGCUUACGGAGGGCUGCCGCGCUGUUAUCACGGUCUAACCAGCAGCAAAGCUACGCCCAGCCUUGCUCUCUGCAGAUUUGGGCCACGCUGAGCUCUCUGAGGGUCUUUCAAGCGCAAGGUGCUGUGGCAGCUCUUCCUCCCGCUGGGGCGUAGCUAAUUUUGUGGCUUUGCUGGGGUCCGAUCGUGCGUUUGAGUGAAUUUAAAGGCGCCCUGAAGGAACGCAGCACCUUCGGGUGUGCCGCACCUCUGCCACGCUGCGAUGGUGUUCGCCACGCUGGCUGACAGGCAGCGCGGUCGUACGGCUAAUGGAGAAGACACAGUUACUUAUUCCUUUUGAAAUGGAUGCCCAGGAUCUGUGUGAAGAAGCAGUCGAGCACGGGCUUUUGCCAGCUCUCCAUGCCGGCUCUCCUCCUCCGAGAUGGGCUCAGCCGUCCUGACCGGACUCCGAGAUCCCGUGUGCGGGCCAAAGUGGCAGGACACAAUGGAGCCUUUUUAUCUUUAUGACCUUGUGACUAUAACAGAAAACAAAACUGCUGAAAGGAUCCUUCGCCCCAUGUCUGCGCAGCUCUGUCACCUAAUCCUAGCCCUGGAAUGGGAAGAUGGGAUUUGUCAGGCCCUUCCCGAUUUAGGGGAGAAUGCAGAAAAACUAGCCAAAGCCACCGAAGACCUCGCUUCUGUUGCAAGAAGGCUGGCUGAGGAGUCCGGCGAUGAGGUGUUCAAGGAGGAGAUGUGUCCUGCAGCCAAGUCUCUUGUCCUGGCAGGGAGGUGCAUACUGCUGGCAGCCCACAAGCUCCACGUUCAGCCGGACAUCCCUAGCCACAGGGAGGAGCUGGCUGUGUCAGCCAAAAGGGUCUUAACAGACACA